rnacentral:rRNA from 1 species
AGAGUUUGAUCCUGGCUCAGAUUGAACGCUGGCGGCAGGCCUAACACAUGCAAGUCGAGCGGAAACGAGUUAUCUGAACCUUCGGGGGACGAUAACGGCGUCGAGCGGCGGACGGGUGAGUAAUGCCUAGGAAAUUGCCCUGAUGUGGGGGAUAACCAUUGGAAACGAUGGCUAAUACCGCAUAAUGCCUACGGGCCAAAGAGGGGGACCUUCGGGCCUCUCGCGUCAGGAUAUGCCUAGGUGGGAUUAGCUAGUUGGUGAGGUAAUGGCUCACCAAGGCGACGAUCCCUAGCUGGUCUGAGAGGAUGAUCAGCCACACUGGAACUGAGACACGGUCCAGACUCCUACGGGAGGCAGCAGUGGGGAAUAUUGCACAAUGGGCGCAAGCCUGAUGCAGCCAUGCCGCGUGUGUGAAGAAGGCCUUCGGGUUGUAAAGCACUUUCAGUCGUGAGGAAGGUAGUGUAGUUAAUAGCUGCAUUAUUUGACGUUAGCGACAGAAGAAGCACCGGCUAACUCCGUGCCAGCAGCCGCGGUAAUACGGAGGGUGCGAGCGUUAAUCGGAAUUACUGGGCGUAAAGCGCACGUAGGCGGAUCAGAAAGUUGGGGGUGAAAUCCCGGGGCUCAACCCCGGAACUGCCUCCAAAACUACUGGUCUAGAGUUCGAGAGAGGUGAGUGGAAUUCCGAGUGUAGAGGUGAAAUUCGUAGAUAUUCGGAGGAACACCUGUGGCGAAGGCGGCUCACUGGCUCGAUACUGACGCUGAGGUGCGAAAGUGUGGGGAGCAAACAG